rnacentral:rRNA from 1 species
CACGUAGGAGGCGAGCGUUGUCCGGAAUCAUUGGGCGUAAAGAGCGCGCAGGCGGCUUGGCAAGUCGGGUGUGAAAUCCCGGGGCUCAACCCCGUGACUGCAUCCGAUACUGUCAGGCUAGAGGUAGGUAGGGGAGAUCGGAAUUCCUGGUGUAGCGGUGAAAUGCGCAGAUAUCAGGAGGAACACCGGUGGCGAAGGCGGCUAUCUGGACGACAACUGACGCUGAGGCACGAAAGCGUGGGGAUCAAACAGG